rnacentral:lncRNA from 1 species
GGUGUUCAAGUUCAAAUGCAAUCUUUGGCUAAUUCAAGAUGGUUAAAGUUUGACAAAGUUAGUCUACUAUUGGGGCGUGACUUGAGACUGUCUAUGCAGAUGCCAUGAAGCAAUGAAAUGGGCUUUAAGACCACAUGAGAAAACAUAAGUCAUCGUACAAGUGAAUUUGAUGUUGUGAAGUAUCUUGCCAAGAGAUUUGUGUUCAUUGAUAUCGCGCCG